UACGGGGGGUGCGAGCGUUGUCCGGAAUCACUGGGCGUAAAGGGUGUGUAGGCGGUUCUUUAAGUUUGGUGUGAAAUCUCCCGGCUCAACCGGGAGGGUGCGCCGAAUACUGAGGGACUCGAGUGCGGGAGAGGAAAGUGGAAUUCCUGGUGUAGCGGUGAAAUGCGUAGAUAUCAGGAGGAACACCGGUGGUGUAGACGGCUUUCUGGACCGUAACUGACGCUGAGACACGAAAGCGUGGGUAGCAAACAGG
rnacentral:rRNA from 1 species